UACGAGGGGGGCAAAUGUUGCUCGGAAUCACUGGGCGUAAAGGGCGCGUAGGCGGCCGAUUAAGUCGGGGGUGAAAGCCUGUGGCUCAACCACAGAAUUGCCUUCGAUACUGGUUGGCUUGAGACCGGAAGAGGACAGCGGAACUGCGAGUGUAGAGGUGAAAUUCGUAGAUAUUCGCAAGAACACCAGUGGCGAAGGCGGCUGUCUGGUCCGGUUCUGACGCUGAGGCGCGAAAGCGUGGGGAGCAAACAGG
rnacentral:rRNA from 1 species